CUGUUACGACUCACUCCCGUCACGAAUUCACCGUGGUAUCGCCCCAGCGGUUAGGCUAACUACUCUGGUAACCCAAUUUCCAUGGUGGGACGGCGGCCUCCGGGAAUCGCAUUCACUCUGCGACAUUGAUCCGCGAUACUGCGACUCCCGACUACUCGGCCGAGUUGCAGACUGUGAUCUCGGACUACGAUCGGUUUCUGGCCAUUCUCGGGUUGGCGACUCCUGUCCCGACCAUACGACGUGCGAGUUUGCCCAUAAGUGGGCCAUGAGGACUUGACGUCAUCCCCGCCUCCUCUCUCGGCUUUUCGGCAGUCUUACAUUAGAGUGCCCUUUCGUAGCAACUAACGAUUGCGGCUGCGCUUCUGCUGCGGACUUAACCCAACACCCGCCAUGCAGCACCUGUGCCUGUCUCUUUCUUACAGAGGAAGCACUCUGAUCUUCCUUCGGGAUUCUGACAUCAGCGUGGGGUAAAUUUGGCGUUGUAUCGAAUUAAUCCAUCAUCCAAUUGCUUGUGUGGGUCUCCGUUUCUUUUGAGUUUUAAUGAUCGUAGCCUUGCGGCGGUUCACGUGUUGGCUGCGCUAGCCAGCGCCCGAAGGCCCCAACAGCUAGCCGAUCGUUUAGGCGUGGGGAGCAAACAGGAUUAGAUACCGGUGUCCACGCCCUAAACGAUGUCAACUAGCCGUUGGGGCCUUCGGGCCAGCGCAGCUAACGCGUGAAGUUGACCGCCUGGGGAGUACGUCGCAAGAUUAAAACCUCAAAGGAAUUGACGGGGACCCGCACAAGCGGUGGAUGAUGUGGAUUAAUUCGAUGCAACGCGAAAACCUUACCUACCCUUGACAUGUCUGGAAUCCCGAAGAGAUUUGGGAGUGCUCGCAAGAGAACCGGAACACAGGUGCUGUACGGCUGCCGUCAGCUCGUGUCGUGAGAUGUUGGGUUAAGUCCCGCAACGAGUGCAACCCUUGUCAUUAGUUGCUACGAAAGGGCACUCUAAUGAGACUGCCGGUGACAACCGGAGGAAGGUGGGGAUGACGUCAAGUCCUCAUGGCCCUUAUGGGUAGGGCUUCACACGUCAUACAAUGGUCGGGACAGAGGGUCGCCAACCCGCGAGGGGGAGCCAAUCCUGUUAAAACCCGAUCGUAGUCCGACCGCAGUCUGCAACUCGACUGCGUGAAGUCGAAUGCUAGUAAUCGCGGAUCAGCAUGUCGCGGUGAAUACGUUCCCGGGUCUUGUACACACCGCCCGUCACACCAUGGGAGUGGGUUUACCAGAAGUAGUUAGCCUAACCGUAAGGAGGGCGAUUACCACGGUAGGAUUCAUGACUGGGGUGAAGUCGUAACAAGGUAA
rnacentral:misc_RNA from 1 species